rnacentral:rRNA from 1 species
UGCCCUAGUAACGGCGAGUGAAGCGGCAACAGCUCAAAUUUGAAAUCUGGCCUUCGGGUCCGAGUUGUAAUUUGUAGAGGAUGCUUUUGGUGAGGUACCUUCCGAGUUCCCUGGAACGGGACGCCAUAGAGGGUGAGAGCCCCGUCUGGUUGGAUACCGAUCCUCUGUAAAGCUCCUUCGACGAGUCGAGUAGUUUGGGAAUGCUGCUCUAAAUGGGAGGUAUAUGUCUUCUAAAGCUAAAUAUUGGCCAGAGACCGAUAGCGCACAAGUAGAGUGAUCGAAAGAUGAAAAGCACUUUGAAAAGAGAGUUAAAAAGUACGUGAAAUUGUUGAAAGGGAAGCGCUCAUGACCAGACUUGGGCUUGGUUGAUCAUCCAGGGUUCUCCCUGGUGCACUCUUCCAGCCCAGGCCAGCAUCAGUUCGCUGUGGGGGAUAAAGGCUUCGGGAAUGUGGCUCCUCCGGGAGUGUUAUAGCCCGCUGCGUAAUACCCUGUGGUGGACUGAGGUUCGCGCAUCUGCAAGGAUGCUGGCGUAAUGGUCAUCAGCGACCCGUCUUGAAACACGGACCAAGGAGUCGUCUUCGUAUGCGAGUGUUCGGGUGUUAAACCCCUACGCGUAAUGAAAGUGAACGCAGGUGAGAGCUUCGGCGCAUCAUCGACCGAUCCUGAUGUUCUCGGAUGGAUUUGAGUAAGAGCAUACGGGGCCGGACCCGAAAGAAGGUGAACUAUGCCUGUAUAGGGUGAAGCCAGAGGAAACUCUGGUGGAGGCUCGCAGCGGUUCUGACGUGCAAAUCGAUCGUCAAAUAUGGGCAUGGGGGCGAAAG